GAUGAACGCUGGCGGCGUGCCUAAUACAUGCAAGUCGAGCGAACGGACGAGAAGCUUGCUUCUCUGAUGUUAGCGGCGGACGGGUGAGUAACACGUGGAUAACCUACCUAUAAGACUGGGAUAACUUCGGGAAACCGGAGCUAAUACCGGAUGAUAUUUUGAACCGCAUGGUUCAAAAGUGAAAGACGGUCUUGCUGUCACUUAUAGAUGGAUCCGCGCUGCAUUAGCUAGUUGGUAAGGUAACGGCUUACCAAGGCAACGAUGCAUAGCCGACCUGAGAGGGUGAUAGGCCACACUGGAACUGAGACACGGUCCAGACUCCUAAGGGAGGCAGCAGUAGGGAAUCUUCCGCAAUGGGCGAAAGCCUGACGGAGCAACGCCGCGUGAGUGAUGAAGGUCUUCGGAUCGUAAAACUCUGUUAUUAGGGAAGAACAUAUGUGUAAGUAACUGUGCACAUCUUGACGGUACCUAAUCAGAAAGCCACGGCUAACUACGUG
rnacentral:rRNA from 1 species